AUUUAUAUAAUAUAAAGAGUAUGCUUGACUUCCAAUCAAACAAUCUAAUUAAACUAGUAUAAAUA
rnacentral:tRNA from 1 species